rnacentral:snRNA from 1 species
GUGCUCACUUUGAUAGCACAUAUACUAAAAUUGGUACAAUACAGAGAAGAUUAGCAUGGCCCCUGCACAAGGAUGUCACACAAAUUCAUGAAGUGUUCCAUAUUUUU